ncrna:unclassified sequences TwoGGAY RNA
UAGCGAAGCUGCCUAGAUACUGUUGAAUUAUGCACACGAUACACAGAAAUGAGUUCCCACGGAUGGGAGCUCAAGGAGAACCGCGCCACGGACGGCGCGUUUCGACGGUUUCGUCAAGCAUAGAUACCCUAUAAAGCAUAAUUCCUACAGUAUCUUGGCAGUGCAGCGU